ACCGUCUUUGCCGUCUGGUAGGUUGGUAGGUGGUCUACCGCUGACCUCAGUCUUAAGGUUUCCCCUCCACGUGACCUCUGCUGGUGCCUUUGACCCCGCCGUGACAUCCCAGGGGUCACCAGGGGAAGGAAACAGAUGUCACAGGCUUUUUUAUAUGAGGAUCUUCAUGUACCGAGACCCUCAGCUCCCGUUUAACAUCGGCUGUUUGUUUUCAGAAGCUUGUCUGCUUCCGAGCCGUUAAGACUUCAGCUCGGGGAAACUGGUGUGUUUGUGAAGGAAGCACAAAGGAUGGAAACCAACGGCACACGAACACCAACGGCAUCUCAAAAUGUUUUUCAGGGUGAAAACCAACCAACGAGGCGUCUUCAUGAAGUCGAGAAAACAGGAAAGAGGAACGAGAGUUUCCGGUGUUUCUGCCCCUGCAGUCGGCUUCACUUCAGUCCUCGUGCAUGUGCUCCUGUAAAACCAGAGCAGCACUACUGACUGAAACAUCAAGCACAUGUCAGAGAAAAUCUGAAUUCCCUCUCUUAAUCUCCACUGAGACGAGCCUUACGUAAUCUCCAGUGAUCUUCUCACUGCAGUCAGGCUGUGUCACUGUACUCUGGCCUGUAGGUGGCGCCACAGGUCUGCUCCUCAGCCUGUUCAGUCUCUGAAUGACAUGACGGCACUCUGCUG